AACAAACGCUGGCGGCAUGCCUAAUACAUGCAAGUCGAGCGAACAGAUGAAGUGCUUGCACUUCUGACGUUAGCGGCGAACGGGUGAGUAACACGUAAGGAAUCUACCUAUAAGCGGGGGAUAACAUUCGGAAACGGGUGCUAAUACCGCAUAAUAUCUUCUUCCGCAUGGAAGAAGAUUGAAAGACGGCUCUGCUGUCACUUAUAGAUGACCUUGCGGUGCAUUAGUUAGUUGGUGGGGUAACGGCCUACCAAGACGAUGAUGCAUAGCCGACCUGAGAGGGUGAUCGGCCACAUUGGGACUGAGACACGGCCCAAACUCCUACGGGAGGCAGCAGUAGGGAAUCUUCCGCAAUGGGCGAAAGCCUGACGGAGCAAUGCCGCGUGAGUGAAGAAGGCCUUCGGGUCGUAAAACUCUGUUAUAAGAGAAGAACAAAUUGUAGAGUAACUGCUACAGUCUUGACGGUAUCUUAUCAGAAAGCCACGGCUAACUACGUGCCAGCCGCCGCGGUAA
rnacentral:rRNA from 1 species